rnacentral:rRNA from 1 species
UGCAAGUCGUGCGAGAAAGUAUCUUCGGAUAUGAGUAGAGCGGCGGACGGGUGAGUAACGCGUAGGAAUCUACCUAGUAGAAGGGGAUAGCCCGAGGAAACUCGGAUUAAUACCGUAUACCUCCUUUGGGAGAAAGAGGGCCUCUCUUGAUGCUCUCGCUAUUAGAUGAGCCUGCGUAAGAUUAGCUAGUUGGUAAGGUAAUGGCUUACCAAGGCUACGAUCUUUAGCUGGUCUGAGAGGACGAUCAGCCACAUUGGGACUGAGACACGGCCCAGACUCCUACGGGAGGCAGCAGUGGGGAAUAUUGGACAAUGGGCGCAAGCCUGAUCCAGCCAUACCGCGUGUGUGAAGAAGGCCUUCGGGUUGUAAAGCACUUUAAGCAGGGAGAAAAAGCUAUAAGUUAAUACCUUAUAGCCGUGAUGUUACCUGCAGAAUAAGCACCGGCUAAUUCCGUGCCAGCAGCCGCGGUAAUACGGAAGGUGCAAGCGUUAAUCGGAAUUACUGGGCGUAAAGCGCGCGUAGGUGGUUUGUUAAGUUGGAUGUGAAAGCCCUGGGCUCAACCUAGGAACUGCAUCCAAAACUAACUCACUAGAGUACGAUAGAGGGAGGUAGAAUUCAUAGUGUAGCGGUGGAAUGCGUAGAUAUUAUGAAGAAUACCAGUGGCGAAGGCGGCCUCCUGGAUCUGUACUGACACUGAGGUGCGAAAGCGUGGGUAGCGAACAGGAUUAGAUACCCUGGUAGUCCACGCCGUAAACGAUGACAACUAGCUGUUGGAAGACAAUGUCUUUCAGUGGCGCAGCUAACGUUUUAAGUUGUCCGCCUGGGGAGUACGGCCGCAAGGCUAAAACUCAAAUGAAUUGACAGGGACCCGCACAAGCGGUGGAGCAUGUGGUUUAAUUCGAUGCAACGCGAAAAACCUUACCUACUCUCGACAUACUUGGAAGCU